GCGGUGGGGAGCCGGCAACGGCACCCUGUUGCUGAGAAGCUGAUCAAACUUGGUCAUUUAGAGGAAGUAAAAGUCGUAACAAGGUUUCCGUAGGUGAACCUGCGGAAGGAUCAUUAACGAAUAUCUAUGGCGUUGGUUGUAGCUGGCUCCUAGGAGCAUUUGUGCACGCCCGUCAUUCAUAUCAUCUUUCCACCUGUGAACUAUGUGUAGAUCUGGAUAUCCCUCGCUUUGUAACGAAGCGGAUGCAAGGAUUGGUGUGUCGACAAGGCCGGCUCUCUUUGAAUUUCCAGGUCUAUGUCUUUUUACACACCCCAUUCGAAUGAUGUAGAAUGUAGUCAAUGGGCUUUCAAGCCUAUAAAACACUAUACAACUUUCAGCAACGGAUCUCUUGGCUCUCGCAUCGAUGAAGAACGCAGCGAAAUGCGAUAAGUAAUGUGAAUUGCAGAAUUCAGUGAAUCAUCGAAUCUUUGAACGCACCUUGCGCUCCUUGGUAUUCCGAGGAGCAUGCCUGUUUGAGUGUCAUUAAAUUCUCAACCUCACUAGUUUUGUAAUGAGACGGUGAAGGCUUGGAUGUGGGGGUUUUUGCAGGCUGCCUUAGUGCUGGUCUGCUCCCUUGAAAUGCAUUAGCGAGCUCAUAUCGAGCUUCCGUCUAUUGGUGAGAUAACUAUCUACGCCGUGGAUUUGGACUCGUGCUUGCUUCUAACCGUCCGCAAGGACAAUUUACUUGACCAAUUUGACCUCAAAUCAGGUAGGACUACCCGCUGAACUUAAGCAUAUCAAUAAGCGGAGGAAAAGAAACUAACAAGGAUUCCCCUAGUAACUGCGAGUGAAGCGGGAAAAGCUCAAAUUUAAAAUCUGGUGGUCUUUGGCCAUCCGAGUUGUAAUCUAGAGAAGUGUUACCCACGUCGGACUGUGUAUAAGUCUCCUGGAACGGAG
rnacentral:rRNA from 1 species